UACGAAGGGGGCUAGCGUUGUUCGGAUUUACUGGGCGUAAAGCGCGUGUAGGCGGGUCGUUAAGUUGGGGGUGAAAUCCCGAGGCUCAACCUCGGAACUGCCUUCAAAACUGGCGACCUGGAGCAAGAUAGAGGCAAGUGGAAUUGCGAGUGUAGAGGUGAAAUUCGUAGAUAUUCGCAGGAACACCAGUGGCGAAGGCGACUUGCUGGAUCUUUGCUGACGCUGAGACGCGAAAGCGUGGGGAGCAAACAGGAUUAGAAACCCCAGUAGUCC
rnacentral:rRNA from 1 species